AGUUGUCGGAGCAUGUAUUCAAUAAAUAAAAAUAUUUAUGAGAAUGUGAUAAAUAGGAACUUUUAUAUUCUCUCCAAUUGCCUGAUGCUUGGAAGACUUGAGUGACUACAAUCAUCAUUUGUUAUUGUUUGAUUUCAAAAUGAUACCAUUUCAAAGGUCACGAAACUAGUCAUCAUUAAAAUAAAGAUUGUGGGACAAUAAGGACUUUUUCUGCGAAUUCAAUGAAUUACUGAGAAAUCGAAAGAGAUGUUUAUGAAUGUGAUAAUCAUGAUAGGCUAAUUGAGUGGAUAAUGUUUGUCUUUUUGUUUUAUAUAUUCGGCAACUGAAUAAAGCUAUAUAUUCAUGA